AUGGCGACCGGCGCACGGGUGAGUAACACGUAUCCAACCUGCCGAUAACUCGGGGAUAGCCUUUCGAAAGAAAGAUUGAUACCCGAUGGUAUAAUCAGACCGCAUGGUUUGAUUAUUAAGAAUUUCGGUUAUCGAUGGGGAUGCGUUCCAUUAGGCAGUUGGUGAGGUAACGGCUCACCAAACCUUCGAUGGAUAGGGGUUCUGAGAGGAAGGUCCCCCACAUUGGAACUGAGACACGGUCCAA
rnacentral:rRNA from 1 species